rnacentral:other from 1 species
UGUCCUCUGCUGUGAGCGACGGCGCGCGCAACAUUCGCCUUGUCCCUUAAUGACGACCACGGGGACGCAUUGGUUGCCGGGAGUGCAAGUCCGCUUCAUGCGGAAAGCCCAAUGGCCGCCACGCGUUCCCACUUGAACCCCGGGUUCAAGGUCGUUUCGCUCGCAUCGCCACAGCGGAGACAU